GUGUUUAUCUUUUCCUCACUCACAGAAUCCAGUCAGUACUGUGCCCUACAGAUAGCAGGCACUCUAUUCCCUGGAGGUCAAUGGCCAUGGAAGAUGGUGUUGAUGAGUUAUUUUUGACAAGCCAUCAUUCUCUAACACAGUAGGAAUUCCAUAAUAUAGAUGUUUUAUGAUACUAUCCUAUUCAAUCAAAGACUUCAGAAUAAAACUUUUGGCAUUGGCUAAAGCUAAGGCAAGAACUGAUCAGAUAUCAUUAGUAGUAUUUUCAGUCAACAAGCUGUCACUGAUGUUGAAGUUACUUAAAAGACCUGUUUAAUCUGUGGUCUUAGCGCCAUUGUGACCUCAACCUGUAGCUAAAAUCAGUCCAGUGCAACAGGAGUUUCAAGAACAGCAGCACAAAAAUGAUGACUUAACUGAAUGGAACAAGAAGGCACAUAUUUUCAAGAAGAUCUUUUUUAUUCUUAGAAGUUUUCCUUCAAGAUGACAAGUGCUUCAAACUCUCCAGGAUCUUACUUAUCUUCCAAAACAAGUGUCUUUUCCCACAGAAGUUCUAAAUUAGAUGACAACUACUUGAAGCAGUUAAAUGAGGACUUAAAACUGAGGAAGCAGGAACUGCUAGAGAUACUAAAACCUCUAGAAGACAAGAACAACCUGUUGUUCCAGAAGUUGAUGUCUAACUUGGAGGAAAAACAAAGAAGUCUACAGAUUAUGAGGCAGAUCAUGGCAGGGAAGGAGAAUGAUGACUCCUCAGUCAUCGAGCUCGUUAAGGAAGCAGAAGAGAUGAAGCAGAAUCUGGAAAGGAAAAACAAGAUGCUUCGGAAAGAAAUGGAGAUGCUGUGGAACAAGACAUUCAACACAGAAGAAUUCAGUGAUGAAGAAAAAGUACUGCAGAUAAAGAACAAAUCAGACUUACAGGAUGGAAAGGCUCCCAAAAGCCCCUCAUCAUCUAGGAAGACCAAGAAUGAACUGGAGACAUUGUAUGCAGAGAAACUGAAGGAAAUAAGGAAGGAAAAGAAACAGAGGAGAAUGGAAUGGGUCAGGUAUCAGGAACAAGCCAACAUCAUUCAGAAUGACUUUAAAGGCAAAGUGAUUGAGCUGAGAAUUGAAGCCUUGAAGAACUACCAGAAGGCCAAUGAUCUGAAGUUAUCACUGUACAUACAGCAGAAUUUUGAGCCAAAGCAAGCAUUUUUUAAUCUUCCCAGAUCCCAAGAACCCUGAAUCUUUGAACUCUGAACUAGAACAGCCCAGAGAUCAACAUCUCCUUUUCUCUUCUCUCCUCUUAAGCUUCUGGAGUACUAAGUGAUAGGGCACUAACUGUUCAAUUACCACAAGUGCAUGUAGCCCCAGAUAAAUCAGGCGAUUAGGACAAGGAAUUAAAAAAUCAGGCAAUUGCACAAGGUGGUGAUUUUCUUGAAGUUGAAGUACUUAAAAGUGUUCCUGGAUAAUGUUCCUUUUCCUCUAGUUUCAAAAGAAUUGAAUUUCACAAACCUGUGUUAAAGAAUGGAUGGAAUGUAAUUUUGGACACACCUUCCAGCAAAUCAGGGUGCCGUGGACACUACAACUGUGAGAAGAGAAACUACCUGCAAAAAUGAAUCUAAUGUGAGAAUUCUGGGAUCAAAGACCUACACAG